UGUGUGUGUGUUCCCGCUCUGUGUCCUGCAGCUCUGCAGAAGUCCGACAGUGACGUUCGUGCGAUGAAGAAACAGGCAGAGAAUCUGACGGUGGAGUACGACAGACUGCUGGAGGAGCACAGCAAACUGCUGGCCACCAGCGACAAGAAAUCCGACUAAGAAUGACGAAGACUGUUUCCAGCUCAUCCCCAUCUUCUUCAUCUUUUUCAUCUUCCCCGUCCCGCUUGGCGACGGCGAUGUCACUUCCUUUCUUUCAGAUAAGCCGACCUCACCGGGCUGCGAUUGGUUCGUUUCAUGUGGUUUAAAAAUGUCCGACCGUCGGAGCUUCAUCGGGAUGAAACUGUCAACUGAGGAGGUUUCUGUUCUCUGAUCUGAUCAUUCUCCGUUUACUGAACCCGGACCUCCGUCCUGGUUCCUGCAGCAACAGAUUCAUUCCAGAAUCAGAGGUCCAAUGUCCUUUAAGACUCCCGCACAUUAUUGCACAUUGUGGAUUCUGAUCGGUUUAAAACGUCUCGGCUUUGUUUGAAGAAUCAUCUUGUUAAAUUUGAGGUUAUAAAUGUGUCUAAAACUGACUGUGUUGUAUUUUGAAAUAAAACCAAUGAUGGAUGAAUGUGAACCGAUCGGUUCCGUUGAGAACCUGCAGUGCGAUUGAUUGGCACUGCACAGGUCACUCUGUACGAGCAAAACAAAAGCUGUUCAUGUUGUUUACACUCAAAUAUUCGCACACAUACAGGAAAAUAAAGACCUUUGUGUCUUUAAUAAACUGAAGCAUGUCCACGUUUGUGUCAAAUAUCUUCUUUUCUCCUUGUUUUGGUGGCGAUUUCUGCUCCGGUUCUUCAGUUAAAAGCUUUCUUUAAAGGGUUAAUGUGUCUCAUUGUUUUGUGACUUGGAGACUGAGAUUCCCUCUCUGGUGAAAACUUCUGCUGUGUCCAACCUGCUUCAAACCAUCGCAAACUGUCGUCAUAUUAAGUUGUUUUAGAUCAGUUGCAGAACGAGGAGGGGUCGCACCAGCUGGUCUUUACUAAUCCUGGUCCUAACGGAGUCAGUCUUUCUUAAGAUCAGUCUGUAGUGCAACCGACCCUGGAUGUUUUUUCGAGGUUUGAGCAUCUGUUGUUUCCUAGAGAGUAAAAAUCUCCGUCUGAAAGCGUCUCAGUUCACUGUUGUUGUCGGGUGGAAGCCAUGAGUGUGAACCUGCAGCUGUGGAUUAAAAUGUGAUUGAAUGCGUUUA